AUGCUUCUUUCUGGUUUUCUUUCCUGGUUCCUCCUCUCUCAUCUGUCUUAUCCUGCUCUCCUCCAUCACGUCAUUCUGUGUUUCUCCUUCGUCCUCUGUCUCUCCGCCCCUCCCGACUGGCUAAUCAUGUGCCGUGUGUAUUUCGGACUCCAGGGCGACGUGGGUCUGCCAGGACCCAGUGGUACUCCGGGCGACGGGUCGCUAAUCAGCGAACAAACUCUCAUUAUCUACAAAGGAGAUAAGGGUGAACCUGGACCAAAGGGAGGCAGAGGAUUCCCUGGCAAUCCUGGCCUACCUGGGCCUUUUGGCUAUCAGGGUGAAACCGGAGAGAAGGGCAUUCCUGGAUAUCCUGGUGGAAGAGUAAGAGCUGAAGCUUCACUGUAUAAUUGUGUUUGUGUUGAAUGGCAGUAAAUGAGUAAAACGUCUUGUUUUGCCUUAUAAAUGCUAACAUCAGGAAAGAGGUUUCAGAGCGGCAUCAUCUUUGUUACGUCUUUUAUUGUCUUUCUUUAAGUUCAGACAUAUCUCUAACCCCAGCUUUUUCUCUUCUUCUGUGGUGGAUCUUGUCUGCAACUCCAUCAAAAAGGGUUCUCCUGGUUUUAACGGACCCCCCGGCAGCCCAGGAGAACAGGGAUUCAGAGGAUCGCCAGGUUUCCCAGGGCAACCGGGAUACAUAGGACGCAAGGGAGACCAGGGAGACCCCGGACCCCCAGGACCUACUACGUUUAGUAAUGAGAUUGGAACGUCCCUGCAAGGACAACCAGGGGACGGAGGUCUCAAUGGCCUGCCUGGCAUCCCAGGUGCCCAGGGAGCUCCAGGCUUCCCAGGACAACCAGGCCUGCCGGGAACACUAACUAGUAAGUGACCUGAAAAGUGGAAAAACUUAAAUCUUUAAGCAGUGACUCAGACUGUUGUCUGUGAAACUUUUUAUGUUUUUGUAUUUUU
rnacentral:lncRNA from 1 species